rnacentral:rRNA from 1 species
AUACGUAGGGGGCGAGCGUUGUCCGGAAUGAUUGGGCGUAAAGGGCGUGUAGGCGGCCUGUUAAGUCUGAAGUGAAAGUCCUGUUUUCAAGAUGGGAAUUGCUUUGGAUACUGGCGGACUUGAGUGCAGGAGAGGAGAGUGGAAUUCCAUGUGUAGCGGUGAAAUGCGUAGAGAUAGGGAGGAACACCAGUGGCGAAGGCGGGUAACUGGACUGCAACUGACGCUGAGGCGCGAAAGUGUGGGGAGCAAACAGGAUUAGAUACCCUGGUAGUCCACACUGUAAACGAUGAAUGCUAGGUGUAGGGGGUAUCGACCCCUUCUGUGCCGCAGUAAACACAAUAAGCAUUCCGCCUGGGGAGUACGGCCGCAAGGUUGAAACUCAAAGGAAUUGGCGGGG